GGACAGCACUGUGCGGAAUACAUAUUGUUUCAGUUUUACAACCAGGAAAUAUUUGUACAGACAUUUGAGAGCUCUCCAUGAUAUCGACGUAAAUUAAAGCAAAUAAUGAAAUGGAUAACAUGCCAGUAUCGUACGAGUUUGGCCGCUUGUUGAAAUAAUAGUCCAUUUUUUGAGACCAGCAUAAAGAAGAAAGUGAGUAACACUAUAAGGACAUAAUGAUAUUUAUGUGAAAUCACAAGUUGGAGGAACAACUGUAGAUGCAGCAGCUGACUCCAAGGACACCAGUGCCUCUCAAGAUGAAGGAAAUCCUCCCAGAUUCACUCCACUCCACUUCAAUAAAAAUAGUUAAUGCUGUUAUUAAGUCUUCUCUUAUUCAGAGUCACAUAUAAUACAAAGCACGCAUUGCACAUCUUACUUUGAGAAAUACAUUGAAGCAAUCCUGCAUAUGAGAGAUUAAAAUUAAAAAAAUGCACAACAAAGAAUGUAUGAUGUUUUUUGUUCAUUUGUCUGCUCCUUACUGACCACUCAUAAUUAAUGGCUCUGCUGACGCACAUAAUCAUUGCUUCUGUCAUAAUCGCUGUUUCAUUCUAUUGUUCUUUCAUCAAUUUUAACUUUACGACAUCCAAGGGGUGUUGCACCAUGUACCUACACAUUGUUAUCCUAACUAACUUUUGAAGGCAUGAGCUCAAC